UACGUAGGGUGCGAGCGUUGUCCGGAUUUAUUGGGCGUAAAGAGCUCGUAGGCGGCUUGUCGCGUCGGAUGUGAAAGCCCCGGGGGCUUAACUCCGGGUCUGCAUUCGAUACGGGCAGGCUAGAGUGUGGUAGGGGAGAUCGGAAUUCCUGGUGUAGCGGUGAAAUGCGCAGAUAUCAGGAGGAACACCGGUGGCGAAGGCGGAUCUCUGGGCCAUUACUGACGCUGAGGAGCGAAAGCGUGGGGAGCGAACAGG
rnacentral:rRNA from 1 species